CUACGGGUGGCAGCAGUGAGGAAUAUUGCACAAUGGGGGAAACCCUGAUGCAGCAACGCCGCGUGGAGGAUGACGCAUUUCGGUGUGUAAACUCCUUUUAUGAGUCAAGAAAAUGACGGUAGCUCAUGAAUAAGCACCGGCUAACUCCGUGCCAGCAGCCGCGGUAAUACGGAGGGUGCAAGCGUUACUCGGAAUCACUGGGCGUAAAGGACGCGUAGGCGGGCUUGUAAGUCAGGUGUGAAAUCCUACAGCUUAACUGUAGAACUGCACUUGAAACUACGAGCCUAGAGUAUGGGAGGGGCAGAUGGAAUUAGUGGUGUAGGGGUAAGAUCCGUAGAUAUCACUAGGAAUACCGAAAGCGAAGGCGAUCUGCUGGAACAUUACUGACGCUAAGGCGUGAAAGCGUGGGGAGCAAACGGGAUUAGAUACCCUAGUAGUC
rnacentral:rRNA from 1 species